rnacentral:misc_RNA from 1 species
GUCAACAUAUGGGACUGGGAACAUAAACUAAGGAGGACAAAUUAAAAUUAAAAUGAAAAAGACACAAAGAUAGGAAAUUCCCCAGAAAUAUCAAUGGAUCCACUAAUAGUGAUAAUUAAUAUCGCCGUGCAAGUUGACAUAGCCAUCUAGAUCAUUCCCCUCUAUGAAUUAUAGUAAGAAAAAUCGCCUCAUCAACGAUCAAACCCAGCUCAUCAAUCAAAAAUGAGUUCAACCCAAAACAAACCUACCUCCUUUCCAAAUUCUCAACAGGAUGAUCAAGCUUAUAGUUGUGCUUUAUAUCUUCGUAGCAUUGAUGCCUUCUCUCAUGCGCUGGCUACAUGUCAGCAGCUAGAUCUUUUUGACAUCAUUGCUCAAGCAGGUCCUGCUGCUCAUCUCACUGCAGCUGAGAUCACUGCUAAGCUUCCCGCUCAGAACCCAGAUGCAGCCUCCAUGAUAGAUCGCAUGCUCAGACUCCUCGCUUGCUACUCGCUGCUCACUUGUUCUCUGCAAACCCUUGACGAUAAUCUUAUUGAAAGGCGUUAUGGGCUUUCUCCGACUGGUCAGUUGUUCGUUCGGAAUAAAGAUGGAGCAUCCAUGGCUGCAUUCUCAGCUGCUACCAAAGUUCAAACUGAGGCGUGGUUUUACCUAAAGGAUGCAAUUCUUGAAGGUGGUAAUCCAUUUGAGAAGGCCCAUGGAGUACCUAUGUACAAAUACAUAAGCUCAGAUCAAGAAUCGGUGAAGGGCUUCAACAAAGCCAUGGACGCCCUUUCCUCUUAUAUCAUGAGCAAAGUUCUUGAUUGCUACAACGGUUUCCAGGGACUUGAAUCUUUGGUGGAUGUCGGUGGUGGUUCUGGAGUUGCCAUCAACAUGGUCAUUUCAAAGUACCCUUCUAUUACUGCCAUUAAUUUCGACUUGCCUCAUGUGGUCAAAGAAGCUCCACGAUGUCGUGGAGUCAAACAUGUAGGAGGAGAUAUGUUCUCAGGCAUUCCAAGUGCACAUGCUAUUAUGAUGAAGGUAAGCCAGGAAUUAAUUAUACACUUGGUUUUAUAUAUAUAUAUAUACUUUUUCAAGAUCUGAUAACAUUUUUAAGCAUUUAAAAUAGGAAAUAAUCUUGGACUAAUAUGAAUAAUACAUGUUUUUAUAGGAGGUUCUUCAUAACUGGAGUGAUGAACACUGCAUCAAGAUUCUCAAGAAUUGCUAUGAUGCUUUGCAAAACGGUGGGAAGGUGAUUGUGGUAAGCCAUAUAAUGCCAGAGGUAAUGGAUCCAAGCAUCUCUACUAAAUAUGUAUGCCAAUUGGAUGUGAUGAUGUUUAUGUUCCCUGGAGGGAAGCAGAGGACUGAGAAAGAAUUCAAGGCACUAGGCAAGGCUGCUGGUUUUUCAGGGUUUCAACUCAUUUGCUAUGUUGCUUAUGACGCAGUGGGUGUCAUGGAAUUCUACAAAUAAUUAAGCUACUAGUAUAGGUUUAUUUACUUAUCUGAUUGGAAGAACUUGUGAAGAUCAAUGUCAGCUAAUAAAGAAAGAUAAUACACUAGUUUGGCUUUUAUCAUCCUAUGUGAUACAUCAAUUUGGCAUUGAUAAAGAUUUCAAUUGCAUCGCUUUGCACAAGAAUCAUGAAUAAAACCAUUCCAAAAUUUGCUGAUCCAGUCGCAGAAAAUGCCACUAAAAUGGGUGAUAUUUAAAUGCCACCUAUCUUCCAAAACACAGCCUAGAUUUUGUUAGAAUAUUGAAGAAGACUAAAGAUAGAAAGUUUCAUGCGAGCUGAGACAUUUAUAAAUUAUAGUAAGAAAAAGCACCUCAUGAACGACCAAACCCAACACAUCGCAUCAAUAAAAAAUGAGUUGAACCCUAAACAACGCUGCUCUCUUCACCUCCUUACCAACCCUAAACAAUUAUAAGCUAAAGUUCUAUAGGUUUCAUCUAAAAGGACGCAAUUUCUUGAAGGUGGUGAAUCCCUUUGAGAAAGCCCAUGUGCCUAUAUACAAUUACGUACACUCAGAUCAAGAAUCCGUGAAGGCUUCAACAAAUGCAUGGAUACCCUUUCCUCUUGUAUCAUGAUCAAAGAUCUGGAUAGCUACAUGGUUUCCAGGAACUUAAAUCUUUGGUGGAUGUUGGUGGUGGUUCGGGGGUUGCCAUCAACAUGGUCAUUUCC